rnacentral:rRNA from 1 species
UACGUAGGUGGCAAGCGUUGUCCGGAUUUACUGGGCGUAAAGAGCGCGCAGGCGGUCGUUCAAGUCGCGUGUGAAAGCCCCCGGCUCAACUGGGGAGGGUCACGCGAUACUGAUCGACUCGAAGGCAGGAGAGGGAAGUGGAAUUCCCGGUGUAGUGGUGAAAUGCGUAGAUAUCGGGAGGAACACCAGUGGCGAAGGCGGCUCUCUGGACCGGUGCUGACGCUCAGGCGCGAAAGCGUGGGGAGCGAUCCGG